CUACUUGGAUGUUUGGGGCCAGGGCACCCCGGUCACCGUGUCCUCAGGCUCCAUAACGCUGGAUCUAUUCCCCUUGGUCUCGAGAUGUGAAGCCCCACAGGAAGACAACCACGUAGUCCUGGCCUGCUUGGCAAAGGGACCCUCCCUGAAGUCCGUGCAGAUCACCUUGAAGUUGGAGGGGCAGGACCAGAUCCAAGAGACAGAAGUGAUCGUCCUGGACAGAAGACACACUCAGCUGUCCUUACUGGUCACCCCCCAGGAGCCAGGCCCGUACUACUGCAACGCCAUCAGCUGGAGCCCCAGCCACCACAUGGAGAAGCCCAUCCAGUGGCCAGAGUCCCGGAAAGUGAAGACCUCCCUGUCGACUCACAGGCCAUCCCUGUCAGAGGAGCCCAGCAACACCCCCAGCACUGCCAGGGUCCCAGUGCCCUCCACCAGCCACACCCAGACACAAGCCGCGGAGCCAGGAAGCCCAGGGGAUGCCAAGCACAGAGACUGCUGGAACUACACCCACCCUCCCAGCCUCUACGUGUUGCGCCCUCCCCUGCAGGGGCCAUGGUUCCUGGGAGAGGCCUCCUUCACCUGCCUGGCCCUGGGGGAUGACCUGCAGGAGGCCCGCCUGUCCUGGGAGGUGGCCGGGGCACCCCCCAGUGGGGCCGUGGAGGAGGGGUCGCUGGAGGAGCACGUCAACGGCUCCCAGAGCCUGAGCAGCCGCCUGGCCUUGCCCGUGUCACUGUGGGCCUCUGGGGCCAGCAUCACCUGCACGCUGAGCCACCCCAGCAGGCCCCUCCAGCUGGUGUCCGCAGCGCCCAGAGAGUACGCUGCCACGGCGCCCAGCAGCCUCGCCGUCCACGUCCUGACCAUGCCCCCCGCGGCCUCCUGGCUCCUGUGUGAGGUGUCUGGCUUCUCGCCCCCCGACAUCCUCCUCACCUGGCUCAGGGGCCACGCGGAGGUGGACGCCACAGGGUUUGCCACUGCAUCGCCCGUGGCCCAGCCUGGGAACACCACGUUCCAGACCUGGAGUGUCCUGCGUGUCCUCGCGGCCCAGGGCCCUCUCCCGGCCACCUAUACGUGCGUGGUCAGGCACGACGCCUCCCGGAAGGUGCUCAACACCAGCUGGAGCCUGGACACGGGCCUGGCCAUGGCCCCCCCAGGCCCCCAGAGCCACGAUGAGAGCGGCGGGGACUCCAUGGACCUGGAGGACGCCAGCAGACUGUGGCCCACGUUCGCAGCCCUCUUCCUCCUCACUCUGCUCUACAGCGGCUUUGUCACCUUCCUCAAGGUGAAGUGACCCCAGGAGAGUAGAGGCCUGGCAUCUGCAGAGAAGGGAGGCCCGGCCUCCAUGCUGUCGCCAAGGGCAGAGGGGCCCACCCUGGACUCCAGCCCCAUCUCUGCCCACCCCCGGCCCACCUCUGUCCACCUCUGUCCAGAGCUCAGCCACCAGACCCAGAGAGGAGGGUGUCACUCCCUGCACGUCCCCAAGCCAGCAGUCCUCACUGCAGCCCCUUUCCUUUUCACCUGUCAGCCGGCCCCAUAAACAACCUUGCUCAUUC